UGGGGAAUAUUGGGCAAUGGGCGAAAGCCUGACCCAGCAACGCCGCGUGAGGGAAGAAGGUUUUCGGAUUGUAAACCUCUGUCCUUGGGGACGAAGGAAGUGACGGUACCCAAGGAGGAAGCCCCGGCUAACUACGUGCCAGCAGCCGCGGUAAUACGUAGGGGGCGAGCGUUGUCCGGAAUUACUGGGCGUAAAGGGUGCGUAGGCCGUGUCUCAAGUCAGAUGUGAAAUCCCCGGGCUUAACUCGGGUGGUGCAUUUGAAACUGGGGUACUAGAGUGCAGGGGAGGGAAGCGGAAUUCCUAGUGUAGCGGUGAAAUGCGUAGAUAUUAGGAGGAACACCAGUGGCGAAGGCGGCUUUCUGGACUGUAACUGACGCUGAGGCACGAAAGCGUGGGGAGC
rnacentral:rRNA from 1 species